rnacentral:rRNA from 1 species
GAGUUUGAACCUGGCUCAGGACGGACGCUGGCGGCGUGCCUAAUACAUGCAAGUCGAGCGAGCUUGCCUAGAUGAUUUUAGUGCUUGCACUAAAUGAAACUAGAUACAAGCGAGCGGUGGACGGGUGAGUAACACGUGGGUAACCUGCCCAAGAGACUGGGAUAACACCUGGAAACAGAUGCUAAUACCGGAUAACAACACUAGACGCAUGUCUAGAGUUUGAAAGAUGGUUCUGCUAUCACUCUUGGAUGGACCUGCGGUGCAUUAGCUAGUUGGUAAGGUAACGGCUUACCAAGGCAAUGAUGCAUAGCCGAGUUGAGAGACUGAUCGGCCACAUUGGGACUGAGACACGGCCCAAACUCCUACGGGAGGCAGCAGUAGGGAAUCUUCCACAAUGGACGAAAGUCUGAUGGAGCAACGCCGCGUGAGUGAAGAAGGGUUUCGGCUCGUAAAGCUCUGUUGGUAGUGAAGAAAGAUAGAGGUAGUAACUGGCCUUUAUUUGACGGUAAUUACUUAGAAAGUCACGGCUAACUACGUGCCAGCAGCCGCGGUAAUACGUAGGUGGCAAGCGUUGUCCGGAUUUAUUGGGCGUAAAGCGAGUGCAGGCGGUUCAAUAAGUCUGAUGUGAAAGCCUUCGGCUCAACCGGAGAAUUGCAUCAGAAACUGUUGAACUUGAGUGCAGAAGAGGAGAGUGGAACUCCAUGUGUAGCGGUGGAAUGCGUAGAUAUAUGGAAGAAC